rnacentral:rRNA from 1 species
UACGUAGGGUGCGAGCGUUGUCCGGAAUUAUUGGGCGUAAAGAGCUCGUAGGCGGUCUGUCGCGUCGGUCGUGAAAACCCGGGGCUCAACUCCGGGCCUGCAGUCGAUACGGGCUGGCUUGAGUGCGGUAGGGGAGACUGGAAUUCCUGGUGUAGCGGUGAAAUGCGCAGAUAUCAGGAGGAACACCGGUGGCGAAGGCGGGUCUCUGGGCCGUAACUGACGCUGAGGAGCGAAAGCGUGGGGAGCGAACAGG